GGAGCAGCUGUGAGCUCGUCGGGCUCAUAACCCGAAGGUCGUUGGUUCAAAUCCAGCUCCCGCAACCA
rnacentral:tRNA from 1 species